GCGGGGAGCGAGAGAGCAGUCCCAGCACUGCCAACCAGGCAGUAUAGAAUGCAGGCGAGUAUGGGAAGAGGCGAGAGUACAUGCAGACCGGAUUCACCAGACAGACAACACAUAUCCAAUUGGCUCUGAAACAGUUCCAGAACAAGAUCCACAGUGGAAUUACAAUUCUGCAGGUGGUAUUUUAGCCAGAGACAGGUUCAUCACAUGCCUUCUGGCUGGUCUUAGAAAAGCGGCCUUAAAGCCCGUAAAU